UCCGGUUUGUCACCGGCAGUCCCAUUAGAGUGCCCAACUGAAUGUAGCAACUAAUGGCAAGGGUUGCGCUCGUUGCGGGACUUAACCCAACAUCUCACGACACGAGCCGACGACAGCCAUGCAGCACCUGUCACCGAUCCAGCCUAACUGAAGGACAAUGUCUCUGCUCUCCGCGACCGGGAUGUCAAGGGCUGGUAAGGUUCUGCGCGUUGCUUCGAAUUGAACCACAUGCUCCACCGCUUGUGCGGGCCCCCGUCAAUUCCUUUGAGUUUUAAUCUUGCGACCGUACUCCCCAGGCGGGAUGCUUAAAGCGUUAGCUGCGCCACUGACGAGCAAGCUCGCCAACGGCUAGCAUCCAUCGUUUACAGCGUGGACUAC
rnacentral:misc_RNA from 1 species